rnacentral:rRNA from 1 species
UGGAGCUUGCGGUUUAAUUGGAUUCAACGCCGAAAAUCUUACCGGGACCGACAGCAAUAUGAAGGCCAGGCUGAAGACUUUGCCGGAUUAGCUGAGAGGUGGUGCAUGGCCGUCGUCAGUUCGUACUGUGAAGCAUCCUGUUAAGUCAGGCAACGAGCGAGACCCACGCCCACAGUUGCCAGCGUACUCUCUGGAGUGACGGGUACACUGUGGGGACCGCCGCUGCUAAAGCGGAGGAAGGAAUGGGCAACGGUAGGUCAGUAUGCCCCGAAUAUCCCGGGCUACACGCGAGCUACAAUGGUUGGUACAAUGGGUAUCUACCCCGAAAGGGGACGGGAAUCUCCUAAAACCAAUCUUAGUUCGGAUUGAGGGCUGCAACUCGCCCUCAUGAAGCUGGAAUCCGUAGUAAUCGCGUUUCAACAGAACGCGGUGAAUACGUCCCUGCUCCUU